rnacentral:rRNA from 1 species
GACGAACGCUGGCGGCGUGCCUAAUACAUGCAAGUCGAACGAGAGCGCCCGGUGCUUGCACUGGUCAAUCUAGUGGCGAACGGGCGAGUAACACGUGGGUAACCUGCCCAUCAGAGGGGGAUAACAUCCGGAAACGGAUGCUAAAACCGCAUAGGUCUUCGAACCGCAUGGUUUGAAGAGGAAAAGAGGCGCAGCUUCUGCUGAUGGAAGGACCCGCGGUGCAUUAGCUAGUUGGUGAGGUAGCGACUCACCAAGGCCGUGAUGCAUAGCCGACCUGAGAGGGUGAUCGGCCACAUUGGGACUGAGACACGGCCCAAACUCCUACGGGAGGCAGCAGUAGGGAAUCUUCCGCAAUGGACGCAAGUCUGACGGAGCAACGCCGCGUGAGUGAAGAAGGUUUUCGGAUCGUAAAACUCUGUUGUUAGAGAAGAACAAGUGCUAGAGUAACUGUUAGCGCCUUGACGGUAUCUAACCAGAAAGCCACGGCUAACUACGUG